AUACGGAGGGUGCGAGCGUUAAGCGGAAUUACUGGGCGUAAAGCGUGCGUAGGCGGUUUGCUAAGUCAGAUGUGAAAGCCCCGGGCUUAACCUGGGAACUGCAUUUGAUACUGGCAGACUAGAGUAUGAUAGAGGGGGGUAGAAUUCCUGGUGUAGCGGUGAAAUGCGUAGAUAUCAGGAGGAAUACCAGUGGCGAAGGCGGCCCCCUGGAUCAAUACUGACGCUGAGGUACGAAAGCGUGGGGAGCGAACAGGAUUAGAAACCCCAGUAGUCC
rnacentral:rRNA from 1 species